rnacentral:tRNA from 2 species
GCCGCGGUAGCUCAUCGGUAGAGCGCAGCCCUGAAGAGGCUGGCGUGGUCAGUUCGACUCUGACCCGCGGCACCA